rnacentral:rRNA from 1 species
GAUGAACGCUGGCGGCGUGCUUAACACAUGCAAGUCGAACGGUGAAGCCCAGCUUGCUGGGUGGAUCAGUGGCGAACGGGUGAGUAACACGUGAGCAAUCUGCCCCUGACUCUGGGAUAAGCGCUGGAAACGGCGUCUAAUACCGGAUACGAACCACCGUCGCAUGGUGAGUGGUUGGAAAGAUUUUUCGGUCUGGGAUGAGCUCGCGGCCUAUCAGCUUGUUGGUGAGGUAAUGGCUCACCAAGGCGUCGACGGGUAGCCGGCCUGAGAGGGUGACCGGCCACACUGGGACUGAGACACGGCCCAGACUCCUACGGGUGGCAG